rnacentral:rRNA from 1 species
AGUCGAACGCUUUUUCUUUCACCGGAGCUUGCUCCACCGAAAGAAAAGGAGUGGCGAACGGGUGAGUAACACGUGGGUAACCUGCCCAUCAGAAGGGGAUAACACUUGGAAACAGGUGCUAAUACCGUAUAACAAUCGAAACCGCAUGGUUUCGGUUUGAAAGGCGCUUUUGCGUCACUGAUGGAUGGACCCGCGGUGCAUUAGCUAGUUGGUGAGGUAACGGCUCACCAAGGCAACGAUGCAUAGCCGACCUGAGAGGGUGAUCGGCCACAUUGGGACUGAGACACGGCCCAAACUCCUACGGGAGGCAGCAGUAGGGAAUCUUCGGCAAUGGACGCAAGUCUGACCGAGCAACGCCGCGUGAGUGAAGAAGGUUUUCGGAUCGUAAAACUCUGUUGUUAGAGAAGAACAAGGAUGAGAGUAAAAUGUUCAUCCCUUGACGGUAUCUAACCAGAAAGCCACGGCUAACUACGUGCCAGCAGCCGCGGUAAUACGUAGGUGGCAAGCGUUGUCCGGAUUUAUUGGGCGUAAAGCGAGCGCAGGCGGUUUCUUAAGUCUGAUGUGAAAGCCCCCGGCUCAACCGGGGAGGGUCAUUGGAAACUGGGAAACUUGAGUGCAGAAGAGGAGAGUGGAAUUCCAUGUGUAGCGGUGAAAUGCGUAGAUAUAUGGAGGAACACCAGUGGCGAAGGCGGCUCUCUGGUCUGUAACUGACGCUGAGGCUC